GUAACAUAAUCACUGCAGCUCACAGUAGGGAAGAUCCUUGUUUUUGUUUUUUGUCAAACUCCAAACAAGAAAUCUUUUUUGGGAAAAGCAACAAUACUAUAUUAAGCUAUAGUGGUUAUGUUGCUUAGAGUGUCCCUUUAACCCCUUUACGCUGUUAUGGCGUUCUAUGCCGUCCCCAUUUAAAUGGGCUUUAAAGCCGUUGCGGCAGCAUAGGCCGUAACGGCUUGCAGCCCCAGGAGGUAAAAUUUACUUACCUCCGCCGUGAUCCUCCUCAGGAGGACUGCUU